rnacentral:tRNA from 1 species
GGUCCGGUGGUGUAAAGGCUAGCAUUCUAGACUUUGAUCAGGCGUUGGCCUGUUUGGGCGUUAUCUGGCGAUCCGGGUUCGAAUCCCGGCCGGACCU